CUAGCUACUGACUGAGCAGCCAAAUCACUAAGGCAGCACAUCAUAGAGGGGCACAGCGACAUCACUAGAGGGGCCCAGCGACAUCACUAGAGGGGCACAGCGGGUAGAGGGGCAGUAGAGUAGAGCUCAGCCAGGGCAAUAGAGGGCAGUAGAGUAGAGCUCAGCCAGGGCAAUAGAGGGGCAGUAGAGUAGAGCUCAGCCAGGGCAAUAGAGGGGCAGUAGAGUAGAGCUCAGCCAGGGCAAUAGAGGGGCAGUAGAGUAGAGCUCAGCCAGGGUAAUUUAUGCCAUUAACUUAAGGCUACAUAUAGUAUCAAGGGUGAAUUUUUAAAUAUUUGAACAUUUCAAUGUAAAGUGCUAUUUUUUGCAUAGAUACUGGUACGGACACAUUAUUUGUGUGUACCACGUGUCAUUAUUUGGUCAAUUAAAUCAGGUGUUCAUCAGUGCUCAGUUCUAGGACCUCUCAAUUUUAUUGUCAAUGUACUACAAUCAUUGGACGUUUACUUUAUGAAUCCAGUACUGAUGAUAUGAGAUGGGUUCUAUUAUUGGAACACAUUGGGCAUCAUUCCCCAUCAGCUGAAGAGUUCCACAAGUAGAGAAAUCCUUACGAUAUCAUCACUAGGGUCCCAGAACAUGCCCGAAAUCCCCAGGUUUAUCAAGAAAUCCUGGUCGGGUUCUCCAACCAGGAUUUACGGAAAAGUCAGGAAUUUGAGGAUAGUUUCCAGAAUUGUGCAACGCUCAAACGUACUGCCUGAUACCCCAGCCGUGGAGAGAGAACCACCUACCCAGAGCCAGAGAUGUCCUCCUCCUACCCAGCCCCUGCCCACCUACCCAGAGCCAGAGAUGUCCUCCUUCCAGCCCCAGGGAGAGAGAACCAUCUACCCAGAGUGUCCUCUCCUUCCCAGCCCCAGGGAGAGAGACCACCUACCCAAAGUGUCCUCCUCCUUCCCAGCCCCAUGGAGAGAACCACCUACCCAGAGCCAGAGAUGUCCUCCUCCUUCCCAGCCCAGGGAAAGAGAACCACCUACCCAGGCCCGAGAUGUCCUCCUCCUACCAGCCCCACCUACCAGAGCCAGCGAUGUCCUCCUCCUUCCCAGCCCCAGGGAAAGAGAACCACCUACCCAGAGCCAGAGAUGUCCUCCUCCUACCCAGCCCCACCUACCCAGAGCCAGCGAUGUCCUCCUCCUUCUCAGCCCUGCCCCACCUACCCAGAGCCAGAGAUGUCCUCCUCCUUCCAAGCCCCAGGGAGAGAGAACAAUCUACCCAGAGCCAGAGAUGUCCUCCUCCUUCCAGCCCCAGGGAGAGAGAACCACCUACCCAGAGAUGUCCUCCUCCUUCCCAGCCCCAGGGAAAGAGAACCACCUACCCAGACGCAGAGAUGUCCUCCUCCUACCCAGCCCACCUACCCAGAGCCAGCGAUGUCCUCCUCCUUCCCAGCCCCAGGGAAAGAGAACCACCUACCCAGAGCCAGGAUGUCCUCCUCCUACCCAGCCCCACCUACCCAGAGCCAGAGAUGUCCUCCUCCUUCCCAGUCCUAGGGGAGAGAACCACCUACCCAAGAUGUCCUCCUCCUUCCCAGUCCCAGGCAGAGCGAACCACCUACCCAGAGAUGUCCUCCUCCUUCCCAGUCCCAGGGAGAGAGAACCACCUACCCCGUGA
rnacentral:lncRNA from 1 species